rnacentral:rRNA from 1 species
UCAAGCGAACAAGGGCGCAGGGCGAAUGCCUUGGCACUGGGAGCCGAUGAAAGACGUGAUAAGCUGCGAUAAGCUUCGGGGAGCUGCAAAUAAGCAUUGAUCCGGAGAUUUCUGAAUGAGGAAACUCACCUGGGUUCAUACUCAGGUACGUUGUACUGAAAUUCAAAAUAGGUACAUCGGGGGAACCGCCUGAACUGAAACAUCUAAGUAGGGCGAGGAAGAGACAUCAAACGAGAUUCCGUAAGUAGUGGCGAGCGAACGCGGAAGAGGGCAAACCGAAGGUAGAAAUACCUUCGGGGUACGGACUGCUUUUAGGACUCGAUCUGUUAACCGAACGGCAUGGGAAGGCCGGUCAGAGAGUGUGAGAACCACGUAGGUGAAAACGACAAGAGCUGAGCGAUUUCCAGAGUACGGCCAGACACGUGAAACCUGGUCGGAAGAUGGGGGGACCACCCUCCAACCCUAAAUACUACCCAGUGACCGAUAGCGUAUAGUACUGUGAAGGAAAGGUGAAAAGCACCCCGGGAGGGGAGUGAAAAAGAACCUGAAACCCUGUGCCUACAAGCACCUAGAGCACGUCAAUGUGUGAUAGGGUACUUUUUGUAGAACGGUCCGGCGAGCGAUUGUAUGCAGCAAGGUUAAGGACUUAAGGUCUGGAGCCGAAGCGAAAGCGAGUUUGAAAAGGGCGUUAAGUUGCAUAUAAUGGGCCCGAAACCGGGUGACCUACCCAUGGUCAGGUUGAAGUGGAAGUAAAAUUCCAUGGAGGACCGAACCGACCUCCGUUGAAAAGGCGGCGGAUGAACUGUGGGUAGCGGAGAAAUUCCAAUCGAACCCGGAGAUAGCUGGUUCUCCCCGAAAUAGUUUUAGGACUAGCCUCAAGUUAGAUACCUGGAGGUAAAGCACUGAAUAGCCUAGCGGCCGAGAGGUUAGCGAAGCUUAUCAAACUCAGAAUGCCAGAGUAUUGAUGCUUGGGAGUCAGACAGUGUCAGAUAAAUGUCAUUGUCAAAAGGGAAACAGCCCAGAUCUACAGCUAAGGUCCCAAAGUCAGGUUAAGUGGAAAACGAUGUGAAGAUACGCAGACAACCAGGAUGUUGGCUCAGAAGCAGCCACUCAUUCAAAGAGUGCGUAAUAGCUCACUGGUCGAGCGUCUUUGCGCGGAGAAUUUAACGGGGCUAAACCUGACACCGAAGCUUAGGCAAUCCAGUAAUGGAUUGGGUAGGGGAGCGUUGUAUACGCGGAGAAACAGUAGCGUAAGCGGCUGUGGAGUGUAUAGAAGUGAGAAUGCCGGAAUGAGUAGCGCGAAUGCAGUGAGAAUCUGCAUGGCCGAAAGCCUCAGGUUUUUGGAGGAAGGUUCGUCCGCUCCAAGUUAGUCGGGAGCUAAGGUGAGGCCGGAAGGCGUAGCCGAUGCACAGACGGUAGAGAUUCCGUCACCACCAAAAGAGUUAAGCACAGGGACACAUUUGAAGUCUCAGAGCCGGGUGUUGGUUCCGGUAGAGAUCGAGGGAAGUUAGUACCGAAGUCUGAGAUGGAAGAUGGCGAGAAAAGCUGUGUGUAUUUCUAAGGUGCCCGUACCGCAAACCGACACAGGUAGGUAGGAAGAAGAUUCUAAGGCCAACGGGAGAAGGGUUGUUAAGGAACUCGGCAAAUUGACCCCGUAACUUCGGGAGAAGGGGUGCUCCAGAGAUGGAGCCGCAGAGAAUCGGCCCAAGCAACUGUUUACCAAAAACACAGGUUUGUGCUAAAUCGAAAGAUGACGUAUACGAGCUGACGCCUGCCCGGUGCUGGAAGGUUAAGAGGAGAUGUGCAAGCAUUGAAUCGAAGCCCCAGUGAACGGCGGCCGUAACUAUAACGGUCCUAAGGUAGCGAAAUUCCUUGUCAGGUAAG